CCCUUAGAUGUUCUGGGCCGCACGCGCGCUACACUGACGAAUGCAACGAGCUUAUAACCUUGGCCGAAAGGUCUGGGUAAUCUCCAAAUUUCGUCGUGAUGGGGAUAGAUUAUUGCAAUUAUUAAUCUUCAACGAGGAAUGCCUAGUAAGCGCAAGUCAUCAGCUUGCGUUGAUUACGCCCCUGCCCUUUGUACACACCGCCCGUCGCUCCUACCGAUUGAAUGGUCCGGUGAAGCGUUCGGACCGUGGCCUUUGGACGGUUCGCCGUCUGUUGGCUGCGGGAAGUUCGUUAAACCUUAUCAUUUAGAGGAAGGAGAAGUCGUAACA
rnacentral:rRNA from 1 species